GCCCAGGUGGUGAAAUUGGUAUACACGCUAGCUUCAGGUGCUAGUGGGGGAAACCCCGUGGAGGUUCAAGUCCUCUCCUGGGCACCA
rnacentral:tRNA from 1 species